UUGACCUCAAAUCAGGUAGGACUACCCGCUGAACUUAAGCAUAUCAAUAAGCGGAGGAAAAGAAACUAACAAGGAUUCCCCUAGUAACUGCGAGUGAAGCGGGACAAGCUCAAAUUUAAAAUCUGGCA
rnacentral:rRNA from 1 species